GUUUCCAUUUUAUAACCUUAACUGACCUCAGGAAAUAACUUUUAUCCUAUGAAGGUACAAAGAUGGCGAACCACUAUCAGCUGAAGAUCAGUCAUUUGUACUUGAUAGCGUUUUUACCCAUCAUCCUGAUAAAGUGUCAAAAAUGGGUGAUGGAAUUGGCUAUGUCAUGAUUAAUAAGCACAGUUCUUUCCAAGACAGCAGGUGUUUCUAUGUUGUCUCUACUGAUGGGAGAAACGAAGAUUUUUCUUACCGGAAAUGUAUUGAGAAUUUCAUCAAGGGUAAGUACCCUGCUGUUGCUGAAUCCUUCAUUUCUAAAUACUU